rnacentral:rRNA from 1 species
UACAGGGGGCUCGAGCGUUAGUCGGAAUCACUGGGCUUAAAGGGUGCGUAGGCGGCCUUAUAAGUCAGUGCUGAAAUAUCCCGGCUUAACCGGGAGGGUGGCAUUGAUACUGUAGGGCUUGAGUAAAGUUGAGGUUGGCGGAAUUGACGGUGUAGCGGUGAAAUGCUUAGAUAUCGUCAAGAACACCGAUAGUGAAGACAGCUAACUAAGCUUUAACUGACGCUGAGGCACGAAAGUGUGGGGAUCAAACAGG